UCCUGCUUUCGCAGGCAGUCUGCUAUGAAAUAAACAACAUAGCACGAGGGUUGCGCUCGUUACCGGACUUAACCGUACAGCUCACGCCACGAGCUGACGACAACCAUGCAGCACCUGUUUAGCACCCUCGAAGGCGGCCCCUAUCUCUAAGGGCUUGCAGCUAAAUGUCAAGACUGGGUAAGGUUCCUCGCUUACCGUCGAAUUAAACCACAUGCUCCACCGCUUGUGCGGGUCCCCGUCAAUUCCUUUGAGUUUCAGUCUUGCGACCGUACUCCCCAGGCGGCAUACUUAACGCGUUAGCUUGGUUAAACGACACUGGCAGGGUCGAUACUGCCAAUGUCUAGUAUGCAUCGUUUACAGCGUGGACUAC
rnacentral:misc_RNA from 1 species